GAUGAAGAACGCAGCGAAAUGCGAUAAGUAAUGUGAAUUGCAGAAUUCAGUGAAUCAUCGAAUCUUUGAACGCACCUUGCGCCCUUUGGCCAUUCCGAAGGGCAUGCCUGUUUGAGUAUCAUGAACACCUCAACUCUUUAUGGUUUUCCAUGAUGAGCUUGGACUCUGGGGGUUUUGCUGGCUCACAGUCGGCUCCUCUAAAAUGAAUCAGCUUACCAGUGUUUGGUGGGUAUAAUGGGUGUGAUAACUAUCUACGCUUGUGGUUUUUCCACCAGGUAACCUUCAGCAGUGGAGGUUCGCUGGAGCUCAUAGAUGUCUCUCCUCAGUGAGGACAGCCCUUUGAAUGUUUGAUCUCAAAUCAGGUAGGACUACCCGCUGAACUUAAGCAUAUCAAUAAGCGGAGGA
rnacentral:misc_RNA from 1 species